rnacentral:rRNA from 1 species
GACGAACGCUGGCGGCGUGCUUAACACAUGCAAGUCGAGCGGUAAGGCCCUUUCGGGGGUACGACGAGCGGCGAACGGGUGAGUAACACGUGGGUGACCUGCCCUCGGCUCUGGGAUAAGCCUGGGAAACCGGGUCUAAUACUGGAUAUGACUCCAUGACGCAUGUUGUGGGGUGGAAAGCCUUGUGCGGCUGAGGAUGGGCCCGCGGCCUAUCAGCUUGUUGGUGGGGUGAGGCCUACCAAGGCGACGACGGGUAGCCGGCCUGAGAGGGCGACCGGCCACACUGGGACUGAGACACGGCCCAGACUCCUACGGGAGGCAGCAGUGGGGAAUCUUGCGCAAUGGGCGAAAGCCUGACGCAGCGACGCCGCGUGAGGGAUGACGGCCUCGGUUGUAAC